GGGCUAUCUGCAGUUGAGCGCUGAGGUUGGUACUUGUACCGACUGGAUGAGCAGCGAACGGGUGAGUAACGCGUGGGGAAUCUGCCUUUGAGCGGGGGACAACAUUUGGAAACGAAUGCUAAUACCGCAUAACAACUUUAAACACAAGUUUUAAGUUUGAAAGAUGCAAUUGCAUCACUCAAAGAUGAUCCCGCGUUGUAUUAGCUAGUUGGUGAGGUAAAGGCUCACCAAGGCGAUGAUACAUAGCCGACCUGAGAGGGUGAUCGGCCACAUUGGGACUGAGACACGGCCCAAACUCCUACGGGAGGCAGCAGUAGG
rnacentral:rRNA from 1 species